CCGAAAUACGAGUCCCCGGCAACGGUAGCCACGACAGGCGGUGGUUGAGAGACCCUCGGAAAAUGUCGUGCGCGCCCGUCGCACGCGGGACACGCCGACCCUGCCGCAUCCCUUCUCGGAAUGCUCGCACGGCGACCCGGUGGAGAGAGCGCGAUACAACGACCUUAUG
rnacentral:rRNA from 1 species